rnacentral:rRNA from 1 species
AUUGAACGCUGGCGGCAUGCUUUACACAUGCAAGUCGAACGGUAACAGGGAGCUUGCUCCGCUGACGAGUGGCGAACGGGUGAGUAAUGCGUCGGAACGUGCCGAGUAGUGGGGGAUAACGCAGCGAAAGUUGUGCUAAUACCGCAUACGUACUGAGGUAGAAAGUGGGGGACCUUCGGGCCUCACGCUAUUCGAGCGGCCGACGUCUGAUUAGCUAGUAGGUGAGGUAAAGGCUCACCUAGGCGACGAUCAGUAGCGGGUCUGAGAGGAUGAUCCGCCACACGGGGACUGAGACACGGCCCAGACUCCUACGGGAGGCAGCAGUGGGGAAUUUUGGACAAUGGGCGAAAGCCUGAUCCAGCCAUGCCGCGUGUCUGAAGAAGGCCUUCGGGUUGUAAAGGACUUUUGUCGGGGAGGAAAUCCCCAGCGCUAAUACCGCUGGGGGAUGACAGUACCUGAAGAAUAAGCACCGGCUAACUACGUGCCAGCAGCCGCCGUAACAC